GAUGAACGCUCGCGGCAGGCCUAACACAUGCAAGUCGAGGGAUAAGCCUUCGGGCUAAGCCCGGCGCACGGGUGCGUAACGCGUAUACAAUCUGCCUUUUAUCCGGGGGAUAGCCCGAAGAAAUUUGGAUUAAUACCCUAUGGUAUAAGAGCACGGCAUCGCGCACUUAUUAAAGCUACGGCGGUAAAAGAUGAGUAUGCGUUCUAUUAGCUAGUUGGAGAGGUAACGGCUCCCCAAGGCGACGAUAGAUAGGGGUUCUGAGAGGGAUGUCCCCCACACUGGUACUGAGAUACGGACCAGACACCUACGGGAGGCAGCAGUGAGGAAUAUUGGACAAUGGUCGGAAGACUGAUCCAGCCAUGCCGCGUGCAGGAUGACGGCCUUAUGGGUUGUAAACUGCUUUUGUAAGGGAAGAAUAAGGAGUACGUGUACUUUGAUGACGGUACCUGACGAAUAAGCAUCGGCUAACUCCGUG
rnacentral:rRNA from 1 species